GUAUUGGUAUUCUUUUAUUCGUACAAAUACAAUAAUAGUCAAACAAUAAUAUAUUUAACGGGACCAUAAUUUUUAAAAUACAACAAUUACCAAUUAGUUAUGAAUUUAUAAUGUUCUUACAAAUUAAAACAAACACUCGUGCAGAUAUACGGAUCAAGAUCUAGUAGUAUCUUAAAAGAAGAAGAAGAAAUAGACUUAUUUAGUCCAAUUAAAAAAUUCUUUGGCCGGUUUAUUAUUUCUAAUUAAGGAAACUCCUUUAAGUUCAACAAUAUAUUCGCGUAUCUGACCACAUCGAGUAUUGGCAGCUCCUCUAUAUGCUCUCCAUAUUACAAUAGAAGUCCUACUCUUUACAUCCCUUAAUUCACAUUUCCACACUAUUCUCUUUUCUCCUCUCUCCUGAACUUCAAAUUUGAAUAUUUCAUUGAGUAAUAUAUGAUUGAUACCUUUGCUGUCGCCUCUGUUGGACCAGCAGGUGACAGCCAGUACAUGAGCAGCUCUUGUAAUAUUAUAUCUUCUAUCUUAUUAAAGUAGAAGUACCUUUGGGAAUGUUUGGAAACAAGAAUAACAUAAUUAAAAAUAAAUAUAAUGUUAUUUGAAAAUAUGGAUAGCAAUAUAUUAAAAAAAAAUUAUGUUAUUAAAAAAAUUGAAGUCCAUUAUAUUUUUAUAAAUUAUCUUGUUUGGGCCAUAUUUAAAAUAUACGAAAAUGACUCAAUAUAAUUAUUUUUUGUGCAACUGGUCCAAUCUAAUUAACUAAAAACAUAUUUUGUCUAAAUUAAUCAUUAAAUAAAAUUCAAAACAAAAAAAGAUUCAAAAUAUACAUGUAUUCAAAAAUUGAUUUUUACUAAUGUAUUAAUAACCAUUAUAAAAUUAUUUUCAAUAUAUAUAAAAAAACUAUACAAAAGAACUAAUAGAUUGAGGAGACCUUCUUUCUAAUUUUUUUAUGGACCACCGAAACAUAAUUAGAUAUACAAUAAUAGAAAUAACUAUAAUAUUUGAAUUACAAUAUCAAAUAAACAACCAAACAAAAAUAAUAAUAUAUGAAUGUAUUGGUAUUCUUUUAUUCGUACAAAUACAAUAAUAGUCAAACAAUAAUAUAUUUAACGGGACCAUAAUUUUUAAAAUACAACAAUUACCAAUUAGUUAUGAAUUUAUAAUGUUCUUACAAAUUAAAACAAACACUCGUGCAGAUAUACGGAUCAAGAUCUAGUAGUAUCUUAAAAGAAGAAGAAGAAAUAGACUUAUUUAGUCCAAUUAAAAAAUUCUUUGGCCGGUUUAUUAUUUCUAAUUAAGGAAACUCCUUUAAGUUCAACAAUAUAUUCGCGUAUCUGACCACAUCGAGUAUUGGCAGCUCCUCUAUAUGCUCUCCAUAUUACAAUAGAAGUCCUACUCUUUACAUCCCUUAAUUCACAUUUCCACACUAUUCUCUUUUCUCCUCUCUCCUGAACUUCAAAUUUGAAUAUUUCAUUGAGUAAUAUAUGAUUGAUACCUUUGCUGUCGCCUCUGUUGGACCAGCAGGUGACAGCCAGUACAUGAGCAGCUCCAAGUUGGUUUUUAAAUUGUAAAAUGUUUGGAGUGCAUUUGGAAAUUUGUCCAGAACUUUCUUUAAAACCAUAACAUAUAACAAGAACUAACAUAAAAUUAAUGAGAUGAUUCAUUUUGGAUCUAAAGACUCAA
rnacentral:lncRNA from 1 species